CGUUCGAGAAAGAGAGCAGGCAAAAGAAAGGUGAAACCCUAGCUUCAAGAAAUCAAGAAUCAAAGCCAAAUACAUAAGAUAAUCCGGUGCAUGAACCCUCCUUGCGAAAAUCUAACCCUAAUUUGUUAGUGGUGUGAAGGAGGAAGGUUCCAAUACUAGGAAAUCGGAAGGUUCACAAGAUCGAGGAUGGAAAUCUCGUCAGUUGAUUCAAGUAUGGAUGGCAAACGGGGUAAGAGGAAGCAAUGAGGCAAAUAUGAACCUGAACACUAAAGGUAAGUGAUUUUGCAAUCACUUCAAAUUUAUCUACAUGAAGGUGUAUACAUGUUUGCAUAUUUGAAAUCAAAGUGAAAUGUAUAAAUAAAUUAGAAAUGUUAUGGUACGUUUUGUUGAAAUUGUUGGCAUAAUGUUAAACCGAUAAGACCUCAUUAUAAGGGUAAAUCGGUCAUAAAUUUUAGUUGAGAAAUUCUAAGACGGGAAUGAAAACUUGGCAAUGUUGAUGAAAGGUAUGGAAAGAAUAUUAGUCGGGAUGUUAGCUAAAGACAUUUCGUAAAGAUGAUUCGAAUUGAAAGUAAGUACAACGCGUACAACAAUACUUAGAUACAAUAAGUACUAAGUGUGAUUAAUUUUAAAGGGUCAAAUUGUAGAAGACAGUAAAUAAUAAUUACUUACAAUUGCUAGAAGUAUUACGUAAGAAAUGACAUGGUAAAUGAUACGACAGAAGAACGAAAGGUACAGAUGAAAAUGCUAGAAUCUGAGAAAUGAAUUCAAACUGGUAAGAAUGAAAGGUAAGUAAUUAAAAGUUCGAAUCCGUAAGUGAAGACGGAUUGAACAAGUGAGAAUAAAAAGUAAGUACCAAACUCAAAUAAGUUAUACGGGUCAAAUGGCGAUCGCCGUUUGAACCCGGUAUUUAAUGUUCGGUUUGUCAAGUUUAUUACUUAUAGGUGAGCAUGAUGUAGGGGCAUGCAUUGUCACAGAUUGGAAAACAUUAACCAUCGCAAAGUAUAAAUAACGAGUCAAGGGUUUUGACCCGCGCCAGUAAUGAAGCUAGUGGAAGGAUGCUCACGAGUGGGAGCAUAUUUUAUGAAUGAAUGAGACCAAUUCUGGUACGGGAGGUACAUAUAAAGAAGCGGAUCAAUCCGGCACACGGAUAACUGACUUAUGCAUUGAAGGCGAGGUGUGAAGGAGGAAGGUUCCAAUACUAGGAAAUCGGAAGGUUCACAAGAUCGAGGUAAAACUCCACUUUAGGCGAAUUGGAGAUAUGGAGCGAGCACGUGUCCAUGCUUUAUUAUACCAAGCGCUUCCGCUAGAUAUAUGCACACUUUUUGGGUCCGUGUCUUGUUAUUUUGUUUAAUCUUGUUAGAAGUCAUACACUUAAAAACUUGUUGUCUUCGUUUUGGGAAGUUUAAAGUUAAAUGGGUCGUAGAUUGUCGUUAGUUUAAUAACUUAAAAACAGGGGGCAUGCUCGUUUUACGAACGGGUCAUGCCCAAUUUUUGUAAGAAUUUCGUUAUGUAUUAAAUUUUUGGUAUGUUGAUGUCUUUAAA